rnacentral:rRNA from 1 species
UGGGGAAUAUUGCACAAUGGAGGAAACUCUGAUGCAGCGAUGCCGCGUGAGGGAAGAAGGUUUUAGGAUUGUAAACCUCUGUCUUCAGGGACGAAAAAAGACGGUACCUGAGGAGGAAGCUCCGGCUAACUACGUGCCAGCAGCCGCGGUAAUACGUAGGGAGCGAGCGUUGUCCGGAAUUACUGGGUGUAAAGGGAGCGUAGGCGGGAUCGCAAGUCAGAUGUGAAAACCCAGGGCUUAACCCUGGGACUGCAUUGGAAACUGUCUGGCUCGAGUGCCGGAGAGGUAAGCGGAAUUCCUAGUGUAGCGGUGGAAUGCGUAGAUAUCGGGAGGAACACCAGUGGCGAAGGCGGCCUACUGGGCACCAACUGACGCUGAGGCUCGAAAGUGUGGGUAGCAAACAGGAUUAGAUACCCUGGUAGUCCACACCGUAAACGAUGAUUACUAGGUGUUGGAGGAUUGACCCCUUCAGUGCCGCAGUUAACACAAUAAGUAAUCCACCUGGGGAGUACGACCGCAAGGUUGAAACUCAAAGGAAUUGACGGGGGCCCGCACAAGCAGUGGAGUAUGUGGUUUAAUUCGACGCAACGCGAAGAACCUUACCAAGUCUUGACAUCCCUUGACGAUGCUGGAAACAGCAUUUCUCUUCGGAGCAAGGAGACAGGUGGUGCAUGGUUGUCGUCAGCUCGUGUCGUGAGAUGUUGGGUUAAGUCCCGCAACGAGCGCAACCCUUAUGGUCAGUUACUACGCAAGAGGACUCUGGCCAGACUGCCGUUGACAAAACGGAGGAAGGUGGGGAUGACGUCAAAUCAUCAUGCCCUUUAUGACUUGGGCUACACACGUACUACAAUGGCGUUAAACAAAGAGAAGCAAGACCGCGAGGUGGAGCAAAACUCAGAAACAACGUCCCAGUUCGGACUGCAGGCUGCAACUCGCCUGCACGAAGUCGGAAUUGCUAGUAAUCGUGGAUCAGCAUGCCACGGUGAAUACGUUCCC